GACCUUGAAAUACCACCCUUUAAUGUUUGAUGUUCUAACGUGGACCCGUUACCCGGGUUGCGGACAGUGUCUGGUGGGUAGUUUGACUGGGGCGGUCUCCUCCUAAAGAGUAACGGAGGAGCACGAAGGUUGGCUAAUCCUGGUCGGACAUCAGGAGGUUAGUGCAAUGGCAUAAGCCAGCUUGACUGCGAGCGUGACGGCGCGAGCAGGUGCGAAAGCAGGUCAUAGUGAUCCGGUGGUUCUGAAUGGAAGGGCCAUCGCUCAACGGAUAAAAGGUACUCCGGGGAUAACAGGCUGAUACCGCCCAAGAGUUCAUAUCGACGGCGGUGUUUGGCACCUCGAUGUCGGCUCAUCACAUCCUGGGGCUGAAGUAGGUCCCAAGGGUAUGGCUGUUCGCCAUUUAAAGUGGUACGCGAGCUGGGUUUAGAACGUCGUGAGACAGUUCGGUCCCUAUCUGCCGUGGGCGCUGGAGAACUGAGGGGGGCUGCUCCUAGUACGAGAGGACCGGAGUGGACGCAUCACUGGUGUUCGGGUUGUCAUGCCAAUGGCACUGCCCGGUAGCUAAAUGCGGAAGAGA
rnacentral:rRNA from 2 species